rnacentral:misc_RNA from 1 species
UACGGGGGCCCCAAGCGUUGUCCGGUUUUAUUUGGCGUAAAGAGUUCUGUAGGCGGUAUUGUAAGUUAUCAGUUAAAUUUUCAGGCCUAACCUGAAAAUCGCUGCUAAUACUGCAAUACUAGAGGAAGACAGGGGAGAGUGGAACGCAUGGUGUAGUGGUGGAAUACGUUGAUAUCAUGCGGAACAUCGAAGGCGAAGGCAGCUCUCUGGGUCUUUCCUGACGCUAAGAGACGAAAGCGUGGGUAGCAAAACGG